GUUAAGCUGCUUAGUUUCUCAAAUUCAUAUUACUGAUAAAGUGUUAAAACUUAGAUGAGAUGUUGGUGUUUUAUGGCUCACGAAUUCGCAAUAACGGAUACGUAUAGCAGUUCGUGUUAAUGACAUUAAUCCAAACUUAUUGAUGACGUGAUAACAUGGGCGUCGAAUCCAAUAUUAAUCAUGCUGAGGUUUUCACGACGGGGUAAUGUGUAUAAAUGCAGUUAUAAAAUUAAAAGGGACAAGAUAGUCGACGUGACCCUCAUGUUUCCAUGGCAAUCAGUCAAUUACAUGUUACGCUUAUGAUCGCACCUGCGGUCAUUCGCGCAGUAUCCAUGAUUUUAAGCGGCAUGAAACACUUAAGUUAACUCCUUUGUGCGAAAAUAUCAUGUCGUAGCCCUUCAAAUUAGAAUAGUGAUGAUGAUCUUGUCAAUGCUGAGAUUUUCAUGCAUCAACAGCCACUACAUCUGGAUCAGAUUGAACAAGAAACAGACAGCAAGGGUUGUCAGGUCAGAAACAGAAUGACACACAAACACAAGAAACUUCACAGGCAGAUCAACAUGCAAUUUGAAGACGUGUGAUAAAAUACAGAGAGGUGAAGUAGUGUGUCUUUCCAGAUCCCCAAAUCAUUCCUUCUUAAAAGAUGAGCCUGAAGAGGAGAUUUGGGAAGAUGCUGUUUCGUAAGUCGCUUUGCCAGAUCACCUGUGGUCGGGAUGUCUGCUAACAAGAUGCCUUGCUGGUCUGAGCGAGUAUAAAGGCUUACACAGACAAUCCAGAAGUUCUGGAGUCCAUCUUCGAUUUCGUUGAUGCUGUCAUCGUAUUAAGUACAGCAUGAGCCAGAAUGGAUGGGUGGUGGUGGCCAUAAGAAGACUGUCAACUAAACCAACAACAAAAUUCAUAUUUGCAGUUUUUCUUGAAUAAAGUUUUUCUAUUCAGAUUAAUAAAAUGACUUUUAAACAUGAUUUUGUUUCAUAUUUUAUGAUUU